UACGGAGGGUGCAAGCGUUAAUCGGAAUUACUGGGCGUAAAGCGCACGCAGGUGGCUGAGUCAGUCGAUUGUGAAAGCCCUGGGCUUAACCUGGGAAUUGCAGUCGAUACUACUCAGCUAGAGUAUGGGAGAGGGCAGUGGAAUUCCCGGUGUAGCGGUGAAAUGCGUAGAUAUCGGGAGGAAUACCGGUGGCGAAGGCGGCAUCCUGGACCGACAUUGACGCUGAACGGCGAAAGCUAGGGGAGCAAACGGG
rnacentral:rRNA from 1 species